rnacentral:rRNA from 1 species
AUUGAACGCUGGCGGCAGGCCUAACACAUGCAAGUCGAACGAGUGGCGGACGGGUGAGUAAUGUCUGGGAAACUGCCUGAUGGAGGGGGAUAACUACUGGAAACGGUAUCUAAUACCGCAUACCCUCGGAUGUGCCCAGAUGGGCUUAGCUAGUAGGUGGGGUAACGGCUCACCUAGGCGACGAUCCCUAGCUGGUCUGAGAGGAUGACCAGCCACACUGGAACUGAGACACGGUCCAGACUCCUACGGGAGGCAGCAGUGGGGAAUAUUGCACAAUGGGCGCAAGCCUGAUGCAGCCAUGCCGCGUGUAUGAAGAAGGCCUUCGGGUUGUAAAGUACUUUCAGCGAGGAGGCGUUACUCGCAGAAGAAGCACCGGCUAACUCCGUGCCAGCAGCCGCGGUAAUUC